ACGAAGGGUGCAAGCGUUAAUCGGAAUUACUGGGCGUAAAGGGUGCGUAGGCGGUUCGUUAAGUCUGUCGUGAAAUCCCCGGGCUCAACCUGGGAAUGGCGAUGGAUACUGGCGAGCUAGAGUGUGUCAGAGGAUGGUGGAAUUCCCGGUGUAGCGGUGAAAUGCGUAGAGAUCGGGAGGAAUACCAGAGGCGAAGGCGGCGGACUGGACAGCAACUGACACUCAACUACGAAAGCGUGGGUAGCAAACAGGA
rnacentral:rRNA from 1 species